AUGGCGACGAGUGUCUGCCUCCCCCGGCCACUAGCAACCGGCGCGCGCGCCUCCAUCUCUCUCCCCGCCCGCCCCCGCCGCCUACCACGUCCACGGCGCAGACCCCACCGUCUCGGCGGCGCCGCCGCGGGGAUGGACGCCCUCCACGUCUCGUCGCGGGACGCGGAGCCGCUCCUCCACCCCGUGUCGGCCGCCGCCGCCGCCACUGCGCACCGUCGGCUCCGCGUGCGGACGCACGCGCAGGGCGCCGACGAGUCGGCGACGGGCGCCGGCGGCGGCGCGGCGUCCGGGGCGGACGACUACUCGCUGGCGGCCGUCAUCCUCCCGUUUGUGUUCCCUGCAUUGGGUGGCCUCCUUUUCGGUUAUGACAUCGGGGCAACUUCUGGAGCGACCAUAUCUGUGCACUCUGCUGAGCUCAGUGGCACCACCUGGUUCAACCUCUCUUCUCUGCAGCUAGGGCUUGUGGCCAGUGGUUCACUUUAUGGUGCUCUUAUUGGGUCCAUUCUUGCAUACCGCGUUGCAGAUUUUCUAGGAAGAAGAAUAGAGUUGAUGACAGCAGCUGCAUUAUAUAUUUCUGGUGCUUUGACCACUGGAUUAGCUCCUAAUUUUGUAGUCCUGAUCAUAGGUCGUCUCCUUUAUGGCGUUGGCAUUGGUUUGGCAAUGCAUGGUGCUCCCCUUUAUAUUGCAGAGACUUGUCCUUCACAAAUACGUGGAACAUUGAUAUCUUUUAAGGAGCUGUUUAUUGUAGGAGGAAUACUGUUUGGAUACCUCGUAGGGAGCUACGAAAUCGAUGUUGUAGGCGGAUGGCGGUACAUGUUUGGUUUUAGUGCUCCACUGGCUGCUAUAAUGGCUGUUGGUAUGUGGAGUCUACCACCUUCACCUAGAUGGCUACUUCUCAGGGCAGUGCAGGGAAAAAGCCCUAUGGAAGACAACAAAAAGAAGGCAAUGAAUGCCCUGAGAAGACUGAAGGGUCCUUCAGCAAGUGACAAGGUUUUGACAGAUGAGAUUGAAAAUAAUCUUUCCUCAAUUAAGGCUGCUUACGCAGAUCAAGCUGAAGGAAGCAUUUUUCAAGUAUUCGAGGGAGCAAGCUUGAAAGCCUUCACUAUCGGAGGAGGACUGGUUCUCUUCCAGCAGAUAACAGGCCAGCCAAGUGUUCUAUACUAUGCAACCUCCAUUUUGCAGACUGCUGGGUUUACCACUGCAUCUGAUGCUGCAAAAGUGUCAAUUCUGAUUGGGCUGUUCAAGUUUGUGAUGACAGGCGUCGCCGUGCUUAAAGUCGACGAUCUUGGAAGACGGCCGUUAAUGAUAGGAGGUGUUAGUGGAAUUACCGUUGCACUCUUCCUGCUAGCAGCUUACUACAAGGUUCUCAGUGGCUUCCCUUAUGUUGCUGUCGGCGCUUUACUUCUUUAUGUUGGAUGUUACCAGCUUUCGUUUGGUCCGAUAAGCUGGCUAAUGGUCUCUGAGAUCUUCCCACUCCGAACAAGGGGACGGGGAAUCAGCCUCGCAGUACUCACAAAUUUUGGAUCAAAUGCGCUAGUGACACUCGCAUUCUCGCCCUUGCAGGGGUACCUCGGACCGGCCAACGUCUUCCUUCUUUUCGCAGCCAUAUCGCUGCUCGCCCUCCUGUUUGUCAUCCUCAACGUCCCAGAGACCAAAGGGCUGAGCCUGGAGGAAAUUGAAUCCAUCCUGAAGAAGUGA
rnacentral:rRNA from 1 species